UAAGCACUCAUCGUCACAGUUGUAAACAACAACGGCUUUCUUCUUUCGUGAGGGGGGUUUGGCAUCACAGUAUCUUUGUUUCCGGACAGAACGUUUAAGAAUGGGACACAGAAAUCCUGUAUAAUUCAACCUAUCUGAUGAUGACUUCGACACUCCUGAAGUGUUUCCACUUUUGUUUGCCGUAUGCAUCAGACGUUCAGCUAACGGUCCGUGACGUCUGAGGCUGAAACUAUGGUGAAACGAACAAUAAAUCAUUUUUUUAGUGUGCAGCAAAGUUCAGUUAAACCUGAGAAGCAUCUACAGGGGCGUUUCUACAUUAUUUGCCAUUUGUCCCACUCGAGACUAUCGGUUAGCGACUCCUUUGGAUAACACUGGUGGUUAUCUCCUCUCUGUUAAACACAUCAGCGCAUGUGUUCUGCCUCGUCUUUGCGAUUUACAGAUCCUGAAGAGCGGUGACUUUAGCCGAGUCAAUAUUUAUCAAGUGGAGUAUUCAAAGGCAGAUCCUGCUCAAAUCCUUUUAUAUCGCCCUUGAGGGAGGUGCCAGGAAGUCUUAAAACUCCCUUCGACAGGAUGUUUCCUUUUAAACAGCAACAUGUGCUCUGAUCUCUUCACGUCUCAAUAACAGAAUCUUCGAGAAUAAAGGUGCUAUGAUGGGCUGUUCAAACCCCCAUCCUCACUGUCAGGCUGGAAUAGGUCUUUAACUGUCACCUCAGAGGAGAGACUUCUGACGAGACGGGGCCAAUGCAAGCAGGAGCUUAAAAAGCCUGUAGACUCCAAUUAGGGAACUAGAGAGAUGUUACAGGGAAAGCCGUCUUCCCACUGGAAAAUUACUCUCGUCUCUCCCUCUUAGAGGAGAGCGGGUUAGUCUUGAGGGGAUUCUGGGAUUUUUUAAAAGAGGAGGUCGCUGGGAUGACAAUGGGGUGGAAAACGUUGCCGCUUUUAUCAGUUUGAUAGCAUUCGGUGUAAAUGAUGUGUUCUGUUGACAUCUUCAUGCUUCCGCUCUGACUCCAAGCAGCAAGGAACUUCUGUUUCCUCUCGUUUCCCUUUUUGAGGCUGUCUGUCUUACCCUUAUUUCUUCUAAGCGCAGGAAGCCUGUCACUGUCGUGUUGUGGCAGCACAGCAAGCCAAACUCUCUGGGUUGGCUGCACACUGAGCUCCCUCUCACUGAAUUCAUUAAGUGAUUAUGGCUGUGUUUUCCACUAGGGGGCAGUAGAGGAUUUUCAGAUGGAUUGACAUACAGUAAGCUCUGUUUAAAGAAGCUGUCAACCACUCAUAUUUUUCAUAGAAUACUUUAUAAAACCACACCUGAAGAAUGAAGGGUUAACGGUCAUACCAUAGAUUUAAGGUUUACCAUUUAUUUUUCAGCCGCAUCACAUCGGAUCUCUGGUGCCGGUGAACUAACUUGUUAAGUUCUGAUUGAGAUGGUUUAGUUGGCUGGAGAAAGUCAACUUUUUCUGCAGUUGCAGGAAAUUUCAUUUCUGUAAUGCAGCAACAAAAAUAAAUGCAGUGCUAUUAUCAUUAACAGAAACUGAAAAGAAAACUGAAUGCAAAUGUUUUUGUUAGCUGAAAGAAAAAUUAAAUGUAACAAAAUGUCUGAAAGUAAACUAAAAUAAAA
ensembl:lncRNA